rnacentral:rRNA from 1 species
GGGUUGUGAGGUUAAGCGACUAAGCGUACACGGUGGAUGCCCUGGCAGUCAGAGGCGAUGAAGGACGUGCUAAUCUGCGAAAAGCGUCGGUAAGGUGAUAUGAACCGUUAUAACCGGCGAUGUCCGAAUGGGGAAACCCAGUGCAAUUCGUUGCACUAUCGUUAACUGAAUACAUAGGUUAACGAGGCGAACCGGGGGAACUGAAACAUCUAAGUACCCCGAGGAAAAGAAAUCAACCGAGAUUCCCCCAGUAGCGGCGAGCGAACGGGGAGCAGCCCAGAGUCUGAAUCAGCUUGUGUGUUAGUGGAACGGUCUGGAAAGUCCGACGGUACAGGGUGAUAGUCCCGUACACCAAAAUGCACAGGCUGUGAACUCGAAGAGUAGGGCGGGACAAGUGGUAUCCUGUCUGAAUAUGGGGGGACCAUCCUCCAAGGCUAAAUACUCCUGACUGACCGAUAGUGAACCAGUACCGUGAGGGAAAGGCGAAAAGAACCCCGGCGAGGGGAGUGAAAAAGAACCUGAAACCGUGUACGUACAAGCAGUGGGAGCACCUUCGGGUGUGACUGCGUACCUUUGUAUAAUGGGUCAGCGACUUAUAUUCUGUAGCAAGGUUAACCGUAUAGGGGAGCCGCAGGGAAACCGAGUCUUAACUGGGCGUUAAGUUGCAGGGUAUAGACCCGAAACCCGGUGAUCUAGCCAUGGGCAGGUUGAAGGUUGGGUAACACUAACUGGAGGACCGAACCGACUAAUGUUGAAAAAUUAGCGGAUGACUUGUGGCUGGGGGUGAAAGGCCAAUCAAACCGGGAGAUAGCUGGUUCUCCCCGAAAGCUAUUUAGGUAGCGCCUCGUGAACUCAUCUUCGGGGGUAGAGCACUGUUUCGGCUAGGGGGUCAUCCCGACUUACCAACCCGAUGCAAACUACGAAUACCGAAGAAUGUUAUCACGGGAGACACACGGCGGGUGCUAACGUCCGUCGUGAAGAGGGAAACAACCCAGACCGCCAGCUAAGGUCCCAAAGUCAUGGUUAAGUGGGAAACGAUGUGGGAAGGCACAGACAGCCAGGAUGUUGGCUUAGAAGCAGCCAUCAUUUAAAGAAAGCGUAAUAGCUCACUGGUCGAGUCGGCCUGCGCGGAAGAUGUAACGGGGCUAAACCAUGCACCGAAGCUGCGGCAGCGACACUAUGUGUUGUUGGGUAGGGGAGCGUUCUGUAAGCCUGCGAAGGUGUGCUGUGAGGCAUGCUGGAGGUAUCAGAAGUGCGAAUGCUGACAUAAGUAACGAUAAAGCGGGUGAAAAGCCCGCUCGCCGGAAGACCAAGGGUUCCUGUCCAACGUUAAUCGGGGCAGGGUGAGUCGACCCCUAAGGCGAGGCCGAAAGGCGUAGUCGAUGGGAAACAGGUUAAUAUUCCUGUACUUGGUGUUACUGCGAAGGGGGGACGGAGAAGGCUAUGUUAGCCGGGCGACGGUUGUCCCGGUUUAAGCAUGUAGGCUGAUUGUCCAGGCAAAUCCGGAUAAUCAAGGCUGAGGUGUGAUGACGAGGCACUACGGUGCUGAAGUAACAAAUGCCCUGCUUCCAGGAAAAGCCUCUAAGCAUCAGGUAACAUUAAAUCGUACCCCAAACCGACACAGGUGGUCAGGUAGAGAAUACCAAGGCGCUUGAGAGAACUCGGGUGAAGGAACUAGGCAAAAUGGUGCCGUAACUUCGGGAGAAGGCACGCUGGUGUGUAGGUGAAGUCCCUGCGGAUGGAGCUGAGACCAGUCGAAGAUACCAGCUGGCUGCAACUGUUUAUUAAAAACACAGCACUGUGCAAACACGAAAGUGGACGUAUACGGUGUGACGCCUGCCCGGUGCCGGAAGGUUAAUUGAUGGGGUUAUCCGUAAGGAGAAGCUCUUGAUCGAAGCCCCGGUAAACGGCGGCCGUAACUAUAACGGUCCUAAGGUAGCGAAAUUCCUUGUCGGGUAAGUUCCGACCUGCACGAAUGGCGUAAUGAUGGCCAGGCUGUCUCCACCCGAGACUCAGUGAAAUUGAACUCGCUGUGAAGAUGCAGUGUACCCGCGGCAAGACGGAAAGACCCCGUGAACCUUUACUAUAGCUUGACACUGAACAUUGAGCCUUGAUGUGUAGGAUAGGUGGGAGGCUUUGAAGCGUGGACGCCAGUCUGCGUGGAGCCAACCUUGAAAUACCACCCUUUAAUGUUUGAUGUUCUAACGUUGGCCCCUGACCGGGGUUGCGGACAGUGUCUGGUGGGUAGUUUGACUGGGGCGGUCUCCUCCCAAAGCGUAACGGAGGAGCACGAAGGUUAGCUAAUCCUGGUCGGACAUCAGGAGGUUAGUGCAAUGGCAUAAGCUAGCUUGACUGCGAGCGUGACGGCGCGAGCAGGUGCGAAAGCAGGUCAUAGUGAUCCGGUGGUUCUGAAUGGAAGGGCCAUCGCUCAACGGAUAAAAGGUACUCCGGGGAUAACAGGCUGAUACCGCCCAAGAGUUCAUAUCGACGGCGGUGUUUGGCACCUCGAUGUCGGCUCAUCACAUCCUGGGGCUGAAGUAGGUCCCAAGGGUAUGGCUGUUCGCCAUUUAAAGUGGUACGCGAGCUGGGUUUAGAACGUCGUGAGACAGUUCGGUCCCUAUCUGCCGUGGGCGCUGGAGAAUUGAGGGGGGCUGCUCCUAGUACGAGAGGACCGGAGUGGACGCAUCACUGGUGUUCGGGUUGUCAUGCCAAUGGCACUGCCCGGUAGCUAAAUGCGGAAGAGAUAAGUGCUGAAAGCAUCUAAGCACGAAACUUGCCCCGAGAUGAGUUCUCCCUGAGACUUUAAGUCUCCUGAAGGAACGUUGAAGACGACGACGUUGAUAGGCCGGGUGUGUAAGCGCAGCGAUGCGUUGAGCUAACCGGUACUAAUGAACCGUGAGGCUUAACCUUACAACGCCGAAG